CAAUGGCGUGGAGGUGAAGGGUAACGUAAACGAGAACACAUUUUUUUUUCAGCUUCACUUGAGCGAGGGGAAGACCAGCCUCUCCUCGUCGUCUCGUCUCUACCGGCCUCGGCCCUUCUGCUUCGUCGAGGAGGAGGGGGAAGAGAUCUAGCUGUCGUCGGGUACCUUCUCCGCCGCCGCCGCCGGUUCGCCUCGUCCAGCCUCGUGGUGGUGCCGCAGCGGCUGCCCGGCAGGAAGGCCUACCUCCUGGAAGGCCGCCUCCAAGUCGGCCAAUAUUAGAGUGACGACGGUGACUUUCUCCGACACGCCUGCUCAUAACAAAGUUCUUCAACCUCUUACGAGACCUGUAAGGUGACGCUAGAUACAAAAGUACCGGGGCUACUAAGUUUUAAAAUGUGGCGACUAGUCGUAUCACGGGGGUAUUUUUCUCGUUUAAAGUAACUCCGACAUUUAAACCAAUAAGUCGUCGUAUCACCUAACCUUAGUUAUUCAAGUCGUAGUGUACACCGUACGUGUUUCUCAUGCGACUACUAGAACUGUCCACCUAAGUCAAACGGCGAAGCAGUUACCUUUUAUAUUAUCUAAAAUUAGACUUCUUUUUAAUAGAGGGUAAUCUUAAAGUGGUGAAGGGAGAGCUCCGGAAUCUAAGUGUUCCAACGAGUAAACACGUCAGGAAUAAAGAGCGGUCACAAAGAUAUUUCGGUUUGAGUCAUUAUAGACCGAAAUGUUAUGAGUCUUCCGAACAAGACCUUAAACAAUUCUAUAAUCCUCUAAAAGGUCCGAACGAUCGUUUUACAAGUCCUGAACUCCUGAAUCUCUAGUAGCCCACGAUACCACACCUGUUGAAUUAGCAUGGUGUGUUUGAGCUAUUUGAAGUUGUAAACGACUAACGGCCUUACCUGUAGGUCUACCAACUCAAAGUACGAUGACUAGAAAGAGUAAAACUCAUGUUUCCCGCUCACUAGGGAUAUCAGGAAGUACCAACGAGCUUUGAUCUCUUCCGUUGUUACUUCAAAUUACCGUGAUUUCGUGACCGUGUACGUAAGUGACGUCAAGGUUCGUAAAACGGUCACUUCUGUAAUGUAGACGUUCGAAAGUAUAGUUUUAUACGUGUCAACGUCUUCGACGGUUGUUCUGUUGUCCCUUACAAAAACGUAAACUCCGUAUACUGAACAGUUAAUUAACAGUUGAGAUUGCUGGGUUUACCACUAUUGCCUCAAGAAGUUGACCGGUUAACAAACCUACAACGUGAACGUAUACGAGACACGCUAUAGGUCAUCAAAGAGGUCGCCACUCCACCGCCCAUACGCGGCGGUACUAGUAGGGUUCUGCCGGAAGUACUCGCCAAAAGCUACAAUAUUCCGAGUCUAACUCGACCGUACGACAUAGAACUCUUUACGAAGACAAGAACUCGUCGACUAUUAUCUUGGUUCCUAAUGUCUGUUUCAUACCCGCCCACUAACAAGGCUCACCUUAUGACUGGAACCGCUUUAGAAUGGUCCCCAGACACUCACCCGUGUCCUGUGGAGCCUCGCGAAACCAUUCGUUGCCUCCGAAGAAACCGGGUCGUUCUGCGUCCUAGAGAAGACGUGGUAGUAAUCGCUCACAGCAGUAACGGACGUCUAAAAUCAUCUAGCCUCACCCUACGAUAAAGGGGACCACAAACAAUGGAAAACGACAUUACUACUUUUCGACCCUUCUUCAUUUAGAAAUAAAAGCUGUUUCCUACCUAAAAUAUAAUGAGUUUUCCCUUCUUCUGAGUCGAGACGGGUAAGGUACCCUUUCGCGGCAACUGGACAUGAAAAAUGCCCUUUUUAUUGUAGACGAGUCUGGUUUCCUUUGCGCGACAACCUCUGGAUACCAAACGUGACAAGUGGGUAUAAGUGAAGGACAUGAAAAAAAGUAAGG
rnacentral:rRNA from 1 species